rnacentral:rRNA from 1 species
AAAUUGAAGAGUUUGAUCAUGGCUCAGAUUGAACGCUGGCGGCAGGCCUAACACAUGCAAGUCGAACGGUAACAGGAAACAGCUUGCUGCUUCGCUGACGAGUGGCGGACGGGUGAGUAAUGUCUGGGAAGCUGCCUGAUGGAGGGGGAUAACUACUGGAAACGGUAGCUAAUACCGCAUAAUGUCGCAAGACCAAAGAGGGGGACCUUCGGGCCUCUUGCCAUCGGAUGUGCCCAGAUGGGAUUAGCUUGUUGGUGGGGUAACGGCUCACCAAGGCGACGAUCCCUAGCUGGUCUGA